rnacentral:rRNA from 1 species
UACGUAGGGCGCAAGCGUUGUCCGGAAUUAUUGGGCGUAAAGAGCUCGUAGGCGGCCUGUCGCGUCUGCUGUGAAAUCCCGGGGCUUAACCCCGGGCGUGCAGUGGAUACGGGCUGGCUGGAGGCAGGCAGGGGAGAACGGAAUUCCCGGUGUAGCGGUGAAAUGCGCAGAUAUCGGGAGGAACACCGGUGGCGAAGGCGGUUCUCUGGGCCUGUUCUGACGCUGAGGAGCGAAAGCUAGGGGAGCAAACGGG